AGGGUUCGAUUCUGGCUCAGGAUGAACGCUAGCUACAGGCUUAACACAUGCAAGUCGAGGGGCAGCAUUGGGGUAGCAAUACUCAGAUGGCGACCGGCGCACGGGUGAGUAACACGUAUCCAACCUGCCGCUUACUCGGGGAUAGCCUUUCGAAAGAAAGAUUAAUACCCGAUGGUAUAAAGAGUUCGCAUGUUCUCUUUAUAAAGAAUUUCGGUAAGCGAUGGGGAUGCGUUCCAUUAGAUAGUUGGCGGGGUAACGGCCCACCAAGUCUACGAUGGAUAGGGGUUCUGAGAGGAAGGUCCCCCCACAUUGGAACUGAGACACGGUCCAAACUCCUACGGGAGGCAGCAGUGAGGAAUAUUGGUCAAUGGACGAGAGUCUGAACCAGACCCAAGUAGCGUGAAGGAUGACUGCCCUAGUGGGUUAGUAAACUUUCUUUUAGUAAGGGAAUAAAGUGAGGGACGUGUUCCCUUUUUGUAUGUACCUUAUGAAUAAGGAUCGGCUAACUCCGUGCCAGCCGCCGC
rnacentral:rRNA from 1 species